AAAGGGAUAGGUGUGUCUGAGCUAAGCCUUUCCUCGGGCGGGGCUUGAUGUGGCUGCUGUGGUGGUUGGGGGUGCAGUUCCCAGGCCAAUGGAGUUAUGUUCCCAGGGGGAUUAUGGCUGCCUCUGUUGAGUCACACAGGUCACCAGGGAAGUGGGGGAAAGCUGGCAGUCACAGGCCUCACCCCUCUCCCACACAGCCCUCAGUCCUAAAGGCUGGUCUCACUCCCAUCCUGCCACGCAACAGCACAGGGUCUAUUUCGAGACAGCCAGUGACCAGGGCUGAGAACUUGCCCCAGACCACCAGCCUCCUCACUGAGAAAGCAAGCAGAAUCACAGUUUUUUGGAAUCUCAGGGAGCCUUCAGCGGCAAUCCAGUUCCUUCAAAGGGUCUGUGGAUUCUCUCAGUUUUCAUGAAGCUGGCAUGUAAUUCUCGUUAACUCCAUGAGCAGAGUUUCAAUACUGCCCUGACCAAUGGGCAAAGAUGAUUCCCAG
rnacentral:lncRNA from 1 species